AUUGAACGCUGGCGGCAUGCCUUACACAUGCAAGUCGAACGGUAACGGGCCUUCGGGUGCCGACGAGUGGCGAACGGGUGAGUAAUGCAUCGGAACGUACCUUUCAGUGGGGGAUAACGUAGCGAAAGUUACGCUAAUACCGCAUAUUCUGUGAGCAGGAAAGCAGGGGAUCGCAAGACCUUGCGCUGAUUGAGCGGCCGAUUUCAGAUUAGCUAGUUGGGGAGGUAAAGGCUCACCAAGGCGACGAUCUGUAGCGGGUCUGAGAGGAUGAUCCGCCACACUGGAACUGAGACCCGGUCCAGACUCCUACGGGAGGCAGCAGUGGGGAAUGUUGGACAAUGGGGGCAACCCUGAUCCAGCCAUGCCGCGUGAGUGAAGAAGGCCUUCGGGUUGUAAAGCUCUUUCGGCCGGGAAGAAAUCGUAUGGGCUAAUACCCUGUGCGGAUGACGGUACCGGCAUAAGAAGCACCGGCUAACUACGUGCCAGCCGCCGCAGUAAAAC
rnacentral:rRNA from 1 species